GACAAUUAAUGUAAAUUCAUUAAACAAAACAGGAAGUAAACAGGUAGAAGGACAUCUUUCUCCUCUGUGCUCCUUGCUUUUCCUCAUGAGAGAAGAAAGGACUAACCUCAUUGAUUGAGAUUGUCAUUACAAUGUGUCUCCUCCCCUUGCCUUUCUGG